rnacentral:rRNA from 1 species
AACGAACGCUGGCGGCAGGCUUGACACAUGCAAGUCGAGCGGGCACCUUCGGGUGUCAGCGGCGAACGGGUGAGUAACGCGUGGGAACGUGCCCUUUCCUCCGGAAUAGCCUCGGGGAACUGAGAUUAAUGCCGGAUACGCCCUUUUGGGGAAAGAUUUAGCGGGGAAGGAUCGGCCCGCGUUGGAGUAGGUAGUUGUGGGGGUAAUGGCCUACCAAGCCGACGAUCCAUAGCUGGUUUGAGAGGAUGAUCAGCCACACUGGGACUGAGACACGGCCCAGACUCCUACGGGAGGCAGCAGUGGGGAAUCUUGGACAAUGGGGGCAACCCUGAUCCAGCCAUGCCGCGUGAUCGAUGAAGGCCUUAGGGUUGUAAAGAUCUUUCAGCUGGGAAGGUAAUGACGGUACCAGCAGAAGAAGCCCCGGCUAACUCCGUGCCAGCCGCCGCCGUAACAC